rnacentral:rRNA from 1 species
GACGAACGCUGGCGGCGUGCUUAACACAUGCAAGUCGAAGCGGUAAGGCCCUUUUUGGGGGGUACACGGAGCGGCGAACGGGUGAGUAACACGUGGGUGACCUGCCCUCAGCUCUGGGAUAAGCCCGGGAAACUGGGGUCUAAUACCGGAUAUGACUCCAUGACGCAUGUUGUGGGGUUGGAAAGGCCUUAGUGCGGCUGAGGAUGGGCCCGCGGCCUAUCAGCUUGUUGGUGGGGUGAUGGCCACCAAGGCGACGACGGGUAGCCGGCCUGAGAGGGCGACCGGCCACACUGGGACUGAGAUACGGCCCAGACUCCUACGGGAGGCAGCAGUGGGGAAUCUUGCGCAAUGGGCGAAAGCCUGACGCAGCGACGCCGCGUGAGGGAUGACGGCC